CUCUCUGUAGCUCAGUCGGUUAGAGGUUAGAGCGCUGCACCGGAAUUGCAGGGACGCAGGUUUAAUUCUUGCCAGAGGGU